UACGUAGGGUGCAAGCGUUAAUCGGAAUACUGGGCGUAAGGCGUGCGCAGGCGGUUUUGUAAGUCUGUUGUGAAAUCCCCCGGGCUCAACCUGGGAAUGGCAAUGGAGACUGCAAGGCUAGAGUUUGGCAGAGGGGGGGUAGAAUUCCACGUGUAGCAGUGAAAUGCGUAGAUAUCCGGAGGAAUACCAAAGGCGAAGGCAGUGUCCUGGAGGGUGACUGACGCUGAGGCGCGAAAGCUAGGGGAGCGAACAGG
rnacentral:rRNA from 1 species